CACUAGUGUUAGAAAGUUAUUGCUAGGUGAAUGACAGUUUCACAACUCAUCACUCUGGAAACAAGAUGCAGCUUCGGGUGGACUUGAUGAAAAUUCUAUUGCAGAAAAUUUCAAUAUUAAGUCUCACUUACAGGACUAGUCCACUUGUUCUGUCAUUGCAACCUGUGGUUUGUAGGAAAGUCCACAAUUUGGAGUGGAGUGAUUGAGAAUAGACUUGCAUCUUGGCAGAGGCAAUACCUCUCUAUGGGGAAAGACACAUUAAUCGACAGUGCUUUGGAUAACAUUCCCACAUACCAAAUGUCUUUCAUCCCACUGCCUUCCAAAGCAGUCAAGCAGCUCGACAAGAUUAGGAGAACCUUUCUCUGAAAAGAGAGAAGCAAGAAGCCAAGAACCACAAAUUUAAUUUUGUCAUAUGGGAAAAAAUCACAGUGCCUAAGCAGCUUGGAUGUCUAGGCAGUAGGAAUCUAACAUAUACAAUAAAUGUAUGCUUAUGAAAUGUUUGUGUAGGCAUUGCAAGGAGGAGAACUCUUUGUGGAAGAGGCUGCAAAGGCAAUACAUAGUUCUCAAAGCCCUUGGUGCACCAAUCUUUCCAGAAGACCUCAUGGUAUGGGACUCUGGAAGAACAUCAGAAAGUUAUGGUCUGAAUUUUCCCUAAGUUCUUCCUUUAAAUUGGGAAUGGGAAGUGUACCAACAUUAAAUUCUGGGAAAACAAAUGGUUAGGGGGGUCUACCCUAAAGAAUGACUUUCCAAGCUUGUUUCAGAUAGCUCAAGAACAGAACUCCAUUUCUCAGAAUUGGCAAAAUAACUGCUGGCAAAUACUGUUCAGGAGGAAUAUUCAAGACUGGGAACUGCCUCACCUUAUGGAGUUAUGGCCUAAAUUUGGAAGAACACUCUUGUCAAGCUAGGUAUUACUGAAAAGCUAAAAUGGAAGGAUGGCCCCUUUUCAGUGAAGGAAGGCUACGCUCACCUAUGCUAUCCUCCAAUGAGAUGAUUGACAGAUGGCUCUGGGAAUAUAUCUGGAAAAUAAAGCUUCCCUCAAAAUCAUAUGUUUCAGCUGGAUAGCUUUACAUGAAGCAUUCCUUGCACAGGAUAAUCUCUACAGAAGGAAAAUUCAGACAGUCGAUAGAUGCUUCAUAUGCCUUAACAAUUUAGAAUCCAAUAGACAUCUUUUGCUAGACUGCCCAAUCGUCACAGAUAUUUGGGGCAUGUUUUUCUCUAUUUUUGAUGUCAAAUGAGUUAUGCCACGAAGCAUAAAAGUGGCCUAUGAAUGUUGGUCUAAAUGGAAAGUUGAUAAGUCCAUCCGGACUCUGGCAGAUGAUUCCUGCCUGUAUCGUUUGGUGUGUCUGGACAGAAAGAAUCACAGAUGUUUUGAUGGGAUUUCAAUUCCUACUUGUAUUCUUGAGGCUAAAUGUCUUUUAUAGUUCGAUAGUUGGCAGAAUCUUUCCCUCUAAAUUGUCCUAUUAAUUUUUUGAACUUCAUCAGCUGUAGCAUUAGCUUAGUUUUUUGUAGCCUAUGGCUUACAACCUUUUGAGCUUCUGAUCAAUGUGAAAUGACUUGGUAGAAGAAAUGGUGAGAAAGACAAAGACAGAAAGGAACUCAAAAUAUUUUGAAGACAAAAGCAGUUUCAUUUAGAAGAUCAAGAUGAAUCGUCUUUCUUUGUUCUAUUUUUGGUGUAAAGAAGAAUUUUUGGAUUAUGUAUGAGACCUGAUAGAUUUAAUAAGCAGCUUGCAAGUGACUGUCACAUCAGAUGGGUUGAUGAAGUCAUUCCAGAUGCGCCUUGGGUUGUUACCCCGGAAUUCAUUGAUGAACAUCCGAUUGACUAUGUGGCACAUGACGCUCUUCCACAAGGUUAAGUCCAUUGGUAAGUUCUUGGAGACCAAGUGGACUGAUGGAAUAUCUACUUCAGAUUUAAUAAUGAGGAUUGUAAAAGACUACAACGAAUAUGUGAUGCACAAUUUGGACCGAGGAUAUUCAAGAACGGAUCUUGGUCUUAGCUAUGUGAAGGAAAAAAGGCUGAGAGUGAACAGGGGUUUGAAAAAGUUGCAUGAGAGAGUAAAGAAACAACAAGAGAAAGUGGAAGAGAAGUUUUCCUAGGCAUUAUCCAUCUGAGCCCCUUCUUAAUCAGGAAGAGCUGCCACAGAGUACUAGUAACUUUGCAAUGGAUAAAUAGGUGGCUAUUUCUUUCAUUCAUUAUCCAUCUUAGCCCUUUCAUAAUUCAUACUCAGUAAGAGCUGCCAGAGUACUGAUAACUUUGCAAUGGAUAAAUAGGUGGCUAUUUGUUUCAUUUUCUCUCCCACAUAGAAAACAUUGUGCAAAUGGCACUUUGAGCAAUGAAAGGGUAGCAUGGGAAACAAUAGGAUGGUAUAUAAGGUAAGGUUGAAUCGAAAGAUACAAUUGAAUUGUCUCUCUACUCCACAAAGAUAGGGGUAAGGUCUACGGCUUUUCAAAACCGACUGCUACCGAUAACCCAACCGCAAAAUUGGUUUAUUGGCUUAUUGGUAUUGGGUUAUCGGAUUAAAGGGUGGGGGAAUGGAUUUAAAUUUUAUAAUUAACGGCUUAUCGGUGUGGGGGACGGAUUACUCAAUUUUCUUAUUGGGUAAACCAUUAACCCAUUAAGAAUUUAUUAUAUUUUAUUAUAUUUUUAUCCCUAAACAUAUAAAAUAUGUAUGGUAAUUAUAAUUUGUAAACCUAAAGAUAAGCCUCAACAGGCCAAAGCCCAUUUAGUUAAUAAGAUAGCCCAUUCCCGCCCAUUUAGUAAAUAAGACAGCAAUUAUACCCUAAUUUUAACAAAACCUAAAGGGUAGGAACUGUCUCCCUAUUCUCUUUCCUCCCCUCCGCCUCUAUCCUCUCGCUCUCAUCUACUGUCUACAGCGAAAUUUCGCUGCGGAGACAAGCAAGACCACGCCUCCACCUCUUCCCAUUCCGUCCUCCUCUACUCGCAACGUUUCGUUAAGCAAAACUCUGGUGAUCCAGACAACAUUGAUAGAAGCAAAUACGACUCCGGUGGAGCGAACUAUCACAGCGACCAGAAGGUGACAGCUAGUGAACGCCGACGAAGACUAAAGCCUGAGAUUUUGGCACGUUAAAGAUAGAUCUGGAAAGAUCCGUCUAGAUUUGUUUUCUCAUUUUUUAAUUUCUCAUUUCUGUCUAUUGAUUUUCCAAUAUGUUCUUUUGAUGCAUGUUUGCUCUUGUUGUGAAUUUUGGCUAAAGCAUGAAUUUCUUUGAGGUUUCAGAUCUUUGGUUCACUGAUUAUUUCUGUUAAUUUUGGUAUGUGCUUCACUGAUUUUGGCGUUAUUAAACUAUUGGUAUAAAAUAAGAUUAUCCAUAUUGUAGCUUAUUUUUGGGUUGUUGAUUGAA